CGUCACUGAAAAACAGUACACACUUAAACUUCCGUUUAUCCAGAAACGUUAACCUUCUGUUGAAAUUCAAAUUUUGAAUUGGAAAUUGGGCGGGUUCGGUCAAGGUAAAAACUGAAAAACCAAAAAGCUUUUCAUUUUCAAUCUUCAUUUUUUGAGCUCUCUCUCUCUCUCUCUGUUCAUCAUCACCACUACCGUUUGGCUGCCACUUCCUUCCAUCUUAACGUUGGCAACAUUUCUGCACUUGUAAGGUUUAGUAUCAGUCGGAUCAAUAUUUAGAAAAAAAUAGAGAAUACGUUGUUGCUGAACGACAAGAUUUGUUGAAUUCUUUCACUUGUCCGUUUGUAGCAGGCCUUUAACCUUCUCUAUUUACCCUGUGUUCAUGUCUCUUGUUUGAAAGCUAAAUUGGGACACAAGACGAUGCCUCUUUCACUUUUGCCGUCUGUCAAUUCUCAAGGCAUCCUUGCCUCUGAACCUGUGGUUGUUCUGCAGACUAGAUCAUGCCAGCUACGCAAUAGAACCAUUACUCAGCUUUUGAUUUAGUGGCAAGGGGGCUCCUCUGAUGAUGCUACUUGGGAGGACUUGUUUGCUCUUACGCAGCAAUUUCCACAUCUUGUGGGCAAAAUGUUUUAGUGGAGGGGGUAAUGUUAGGAGUCUAGUUUAAUGGUGUACUGAAAGAUUGGUGUAAUGCAUUGUAUGUUAGUAUUACUGAAUUGCUGGUAUGUGUUGGUAUGUUAGUUAUUGGUUUGUUAGUUGAGGUGUUCAAUUGGUUUUUGCGGGAAAAGAAUUAAGGAACUCUUGUAUAUAACUAAUAAGCAACAUAAUGAGAAGCAUCCAGAAAAUUAACCAAA